CCAGUGAGGGGAUCCUCUGUUGUGAAAGUGCAGCUUGACAAGAGCGAUGAGAGAAGCCGCUUCACAGCCCUGAAAUGAGAGAAGAGGUUUUGUGGCGUCCAGUUAUCCUCUUCCAGGCAAAUAUUAGUGCCCCCGUUUCAACACGUCUCAAGAGGGCCUCUCUGAAGAAGAGCAGUGACAGCAGCUCUCUACAGAACACCCUGCUUUUUGACCUCUCAGAUAGCUGUUAAACCAUCGCUGUGAAGAUGUACAACUUGCUCUGUUUGACCCUGUGUCAGGAACUGAAGAAUCUAGAUUAAGACAGAUUGUGUUGUUUGUUAGUGACAACAGUGUGAUGAAGUGUUCCUCCCCCUCCCUUUAGAGUUACAGCGCUCUCUGUGAUUAGCACCUCUUUAGACGUUGACUUUUAGAACAUCAAGUUUAUCUUGAUUCUGUCAUAUCAAGCAUCCAAUCUAAACACCAGUACCACUUUGCACCAACCUGUCCUUGACUCUCUGCAGCUCCUAGAUUUGAUUUGUUAACCCUUGAAAGCAGCAUGUUACAUACAUACCAAAACACAAUCCUUAUUUUGGACAAUCUAAAGUUUUUAAUGUUUCUACAUCAAGCUUUAAUUUAGAAACAUUCC